rnacentral:rRNA from 1 species
CACGUAGGGUGCGAGCGUUGUCCGGAAUAUUGGGCGUAAAGAGCUCGUAGGCGGUGUGUCGCGUCGGCCGUGAAAACCUGGGGCUUAACUCUGGGCUUGCGGUCGAUACGGGCAUCACUGGAGUUCGGCAGGGGAGACUGGAAUUCCUGGUGUAGCGGUGAAAUGCGCAGAUAUCAGGAGGAACACCGGUGGCGAAGGCGGGUCUCUGGGCCGAUACUGACGCUGAGGAGCGAAAGCGUGGGGAGCGAACAGG